UGGACUCUUCUGGGACAAGAAGCAAAGCACAGCAGGUAAAGGAGCAGAAGCAGACAGAAGGCCAUCUCUGGAUACAGACUGUCCUGUGCAGCAGCGCUGCGAGGCAACGCUCAUAUUCUCCAUGGUGGAGAGGGGUUCAGGCAUGCUGAAAAUAGAUCCCUCUUGAGGUGGAGAUCAGGCAGCUGCUUCCCUGUCUACUACCUUUUCAGAUGUGGGUUUUCUUCUCCUGAGUGGUGAGAGACAAAGAAUGAGAGGAUGAUUUUUAGCAGGGUGUCAGAAUGAGAACAAAGUGAGAAAGUGGAAGAACCUGUAUGUUGGUUAGUGGGAAACUCCCUCACAUGUGCGUUCAGUGUGGUAGAGGUCAUGAGCUGGAAACACACCAGUGUACUUGUAUGACAGGAGGUUUCGCAGCGUGGAAAGGAAUCUCUUACUGGUGAUCCUCAGCCUUUUCCCCUGAGAACUACUCUCCAGCCCUCUGCUCCUCUGACUAGAACAGAGCGCUGUGCCAGAGGAAGGGAGGGAAAACAUGGUUACAAAUCUCUGACAUCUUAGGGGCUGUAGACAGCCAUCACUGUCCUGUGCUCAUCUGGACAAAGAAAUUCUCCAUAUUUUUCUAAAUCAAAAUGCAUAUUAAAUACUUGUCCAAACAAAUUCCACUAUGGCAAAUGUACUGCUGGAAACUGCAUGUUUCCACUUAGAAGCAGUGCGCUGGUACAAGCUUCAACUAUUUCAAACCUGUAAAAAGGUUUUAUUAGCCUUACUAACUUUAACCUUAUUGAGUCAGUCUCGCUUGUUUCUUCUUUCCCAUCAACUUUUCAAAAACAAAGGCUUCCUGGGGAUUUUCUUUUUCCUUGUAGAAUGGAAUUUGGUUGAAAGGAAUUCAAGGAGCCAACUCAAACAAUGACACAAAAUUCAACUUUGUCCAAUUUGUGAAUGACACUAAAUUAGGCAGAUGACAAAUGACAGAGCUUAAUUCCAGAUACAUUAAGAGACAUGAAGACUGGAUGAACACAAAUGUUAUGAAGAUCAGUGUGGACAAGUGGAAAGCUCACAGCUGGGAGAAAAAUAGCCUGAGGUGUCAGUAUGAGCUGGGAACUGACCAGUUCAGCAGGAGCCCUGCUAGAAAGGACUUGGGAGUUAAGAUGGGUGCCCAGAAGGAUAAUGAGUGCUCUCACUGGAAACAAGGCAAAGAUACUGGAUGAUGCUCUGAGCAUGUUCAGUUGACUAUCAGAAGCUAAAAUCCCUUUUGUUUGGUAUGACUGAGUUGUCAUCUGAAAUGGUUUGUCCACUGUGGGGCUCUCCUGUUCAAAAAGGAUAUGAACUAAAAUGAUGAAGAUGGUCUAGGGUCUCAAAAAGUAGUCCUACAAAGAGACUUCCAGGGUUUUUAAUGUUAGGAGCAAAGGACUAAGUUCCAUGUAGGGCAGUUAAAAAUACAAUGUUCUAAACUUUUCCAAUUAGUAGUAGGCAAUGUAACAAGGGACACUGAUCAAAAAUCACAACUUGAGAGGCACUAGUUAGUCAUUAGGAAAACUCUUCACAAAUGUCUGUACGGAGUGAGAUCAAAGGAUUGCAUAAUCUGUCACUCCUGAGAUAUUUCUCACCAUCCCAGUGGUGAAGACUUCUGAACUACAAACCCCCUCAAGCUGGUGAAAGACAUGUGACUAAAGCAAAAACAAGCCACAGAUGGGAAAUUGUACUGAAAACAGUACAAUCUGUGUCACUGCCAGUAAUGGGAGACAGAAGCAUAAGCACUUUCCUGCUAUCUCUGUGUGAAGCCUAAGAAACCUUUAACCUUCUCAGCUUUCAGUAACUUGUCCAUGUGUCUACGCCACACAGAGUCUGUAAUGCUCGCAGGAUAGAUAGGGCAGACAUCUCCUUUAACAGGGAUCCCCUUAAACCCCUUGCUAUUGAGCCCUGGAAGGCUGGAGAGAGCUCAGAGCUGCUCGACUUCUGCUCAGAUACCCAUGACUCCAGCAUGGUUCUGUACAAGGCAGCAGAUCCAUAUUCUCACUGAAUUUCAGACAACGUGGGAGUAUAAAACAAGGUAUCUUUCCAAGACAACUUCUCUUAAAAACCCCAUCUUAUAUUUGAACAAAAAUUGCAAAUUGGGAUUAAACAAUACUAGGAAACUGUCACAACAGCAAGGUCCCCCUGCCCAGUCCCCCUCUAGGGAAAGCAGACACAAAAGAAGCAAAAUUUUGUUAUAUAUAUUAGCGUAUUUCUGCAACUAUCAUCCUCUCCAAAAGCAAGAGUGGUUUGAGGUUCUGGAGUUCCUUCCUGUGUUCUUAUUCACCACUGGACUGCUUCAGAGCGAAAUACAGAAACUCACCAAGUUCCCUGCUGCCCUACAUGCCCAGCUGUAAUGUGAGCUGUGCAGUUAAAUGAGAUAAUCUGAUAUUAAGGCAGACGAACUAAGAGGCAAGGGGAUCAAAGAAGAUUGCUUUAUCAGCCUCUUAGGGGCUUGCAAUGGAUUUUACAGAAACACAGUCUCAUACCUUCUUUUAGUUCAUGGCAAUAAAAGAAAGAACAAAUUAGAGGGAUUUCUCAAUCACUGAUGUUUGACCGAGAGAAGGAUUCUAUUCCCCCUUUGGCUUUGGAGCAAAGCAGUAGAACUACAGCCCCCCUCCUCUCCCCUUCCCUCCUCUGCCUCCCCAUCUCCUGUCUGCUCUUCUUGGAAGAAACUGGAGAGAGGUUUUGUAUGUGACAUCAGUGAUAUUUUUACUUUGGGAAAGGCAGCAAUAUCACCAAGACACAGCUGCAACCGUUUCUUUGCCCCCCCUCCCUUCCUCCCCCACUGAGUUCAUUAGCAAAUCUCUUAAGAGGCACAAAGGGCACAAAUGCCAAGAAAUGUGUCCUCCAUUAUGCCACGUGCAUCUGCUGAAUCUGAGACUUAUUUUAGGAGGAAUUAACAUGUAUUCCUUCAGAAUUUCAAGAGGAAGAACACCCUGCUUAGUCACCAACAUGAAAGAAACUGCACAGCAAGCUGAUUCAGAACACCAGCUUCACUUAACAUUUAGCGAACAUUUAGUUAACACUUUAACAUUUAGGUUGUUUGACAAGACUUCCUUAGGUUCUACAGCACUGUGAUGCUUCCUAAUCAAAGGCAAUCCGAUGCUGUCUCAAGCUAUCUUCUCCCUGGCAUUGCUACCUGUUACUUGAUUGACAGUACCUGAGUAAGUAUUUUUUACCAGUUUAGAUGCCAGGUGUUAAUCAGCCUGCCCCUGCAGAGGAGGUCAAAGUUACUGAGCUGAAGAAGAGGAAUAUGGACAGACUAUUGGCUUUCCAGGCUUGCAGCUGGUAGGAUAGAUGUGGAAAAGCUGUAACUGGUUUCAGGGAGCAGCUAUUUAGCAGUGCCCACUGCUCCAGUGUGCUUUCCCAUAGUAGAUCACCGUAGAUCACUUUGCUGUGAUAAUUAUUUGAUUAUUAUCCUCUGAUUCAGAAAAGAGCUGAGUGUAGCAAUCUUUUUCUUAAAUAGUACACUUUCCUUCCUCCCUUCUCUUAGAUAGUAUCCCUCCUUCCUUCCUGCCUGCCUGCCUGCCUCCCUCCCUCCCUCUCUUUGUUUUCCGCAAGACUUCUGAGAAUUUUAUUCCCAAAUAACUUGCUUUGCUGGCUGCUGUACAGAACUUACCCUCAGCCCACUUGAGAGGAUGGGGAAAGCAGCUGUUUGCCCCUUUCCCACAGUGAGUACUACUGUAAGGGUUACUCAACUGUGGGAAAACUGGAGCAGAAAGACAGCACCUGCAGAGAGAGCCUCAUAAAUUUGAGAACAUACAGCCAUCCACAUCACCUUAGAACAAAGGACUGGCAGGUACUCUGUAAGGAGAGUAUAUAAGAUGACUGGUGAAAAUGCAUUUUCACAUUUUCCAAAGUAUUUACAAUUUUAUGAAAGCAUAUAAUCUUCCCACCUGAUCAUUCCUUUUCCAAAGUGAAGAAUCAUAGUCACUGUCUCUCCAAUGUUCCCAUCAGCGUUGACAUCUUUCUACAUAACCUUUCUACUUGCACAGGCCAGAGCUGUGGAGAGCACAUGGUUUGUGAGCCUGGCACAAUGAUUUCUGUUUUGUUCUCAAUUGAUCCUGACCAUUCCUAAUGAUCAGGCCUUUUGUGGCCACCAUCAAGCACUGACUUGACAUUUGGAGACUAUUACUUGCUGUCUGGUAGCCUCUUAACCCCAUUUACUUGCUGUCUGGUACCUCUUAACCCCAAUUCUCCUUUCAGAGACUGGAUUUCUGUAGGGUUUGGCCUACACAGCUCAGAGGCACCGAAUAGGCAGAGGAGCUGACCUUUGGUUGCAGCCACACAAAGGGUUUUUUUGGCUGGUGUUGCAUGGCCUGCCUUACAAGGAUGAUGUGGUAUGCAGCUUUCAGCAACAUGACAGUGCGUGAGACUCAAGCAGCUCAAAGCAGCAAGCAGAGCUGCAGAGAGACAGGUAAAGAGGCCACCUGUUGUGGAGGGAUGACCAGCUGUAAGCUAUCAGAGGUGCACCAUUACUCAGGCUCUUCAUGCAAACAUCAGCGGAAGAGAUCUGGGCAGCAGCCACUGCCAAGGAGGUGACAUUCAGGAUGCCCUUUCUGUCACCCACCAAAGCAGCUGAGGGGCUCCAGUUACAGAGCAGGGGAGUGGGGUGGGCAGGCUAUGAGGCCUCCGGGAAAGACAGAGAAGAAAGAGAGCAAGUGGCAAAAGGGGGAGGGAAGGAAAAUUAGGAUUAGGUGCAUAAUAUUAGAACUAGCAACAACUGCAUCCUAAAAAAGAGAGCAAUGAAGUGAUAUCUUCCUUUGCUGACACUCAUCUUAGACAGAUGCACAAAUCCCACUUCUGGGCAGGUUUCAGUGCUGUAAGUGGAAAUAUACUGAUACUGGAAUUUGUAUAAUCCUGUUCUCCUUAAAUGUUAAGACUUUUCAAGGUUAGAACACUGUAAGAUCUUCUGAGUGCCAUGGUCACAGCAGCGCAGUUACCUAUUUAGCAGAAUAUUUUCUAAACUAACUUCCUAUGUUGCAAAAAAGUUCCUUUUGCAUCUUCAGGAAAUUUGCCAACAGACUCAUUUUAUUCAUGGUGAUCAACAUAAACAUUUCCUUAACUGCUCUCUGUAUCCACCUGACAGACACAGGGAAGCAUACACGUUUCUGCUCCCUCUGGACUGCAAAUUAGCUGCACAAAGCAGACCAGCUCCGUCAGAAGACAGUGAUGGUGAUGUGCCACCAGACAGCCAGCAGCCAGGGUGCCCCCAUGUGAGCAGCUGGUGAUGAGCAGCUGGGGGGGUCUGGCAAUUCUUACAUUCUCCGUUCUGUGGUAAUUACCUGCUCACCUCACUUUAAGUCUUCUAAGGACAGAUGUUUCUCUUUGAGUGUCUUGUCACAAAGUUCUUGAGAAGGUCUGAGUUUAUGCCAAAGGAGAAGCGAAUACUGAGCCCAAAGGAAGAGAGAAAGUUGUUUAACAUCUCAAACAGGACCAUGGCCUGCGAAAACGUAUCCCAAAUCUGCCGCAUAGAAUCAGAGAACCACAGAAUGGCCUGGGUUGACAAGGACCUCAAGGAUCAUCUAAUUUCAACCCUCUUGCCAUUGGCAGGGUCACCAACCAACAGACCAGGCUGCCCAGAGCAUCUCAAGGUGCAGUGCCAAAUUCACUCAAUUACCGCUUUGUCGAACAUUACAGGUGUAUGUUCCCUUCCUUCCAAGUUAGUCCCUCAGAUUCCUCAAAGUGCCCUGCUGCUGCAGUUGACCAAUGCCUUCCCAGUUGUAGGGUCUCAAAGCAGAGCCAUCCCCUGACCCUGCACUGCUCUCUGCCUCAUGUAUUUGCUAAGCCUGCAGCUUGCCCCUUAGUUCAGUUCCAAACCCUCCAUGUACACUGAACUGUAUUUCUCCAAGCAGCACUGUGCGGACCUCAGGGAGCUGCUGGCAUGUGGAGAUGGUGGUGCCCACUCUGCUGGAGCUGUAAGAGCAGUGCUCUGAAGCCUUUAACAGCAAAACUUGUGUCCUGUGUGAUUUCCUUCUCUACUGGGGCUCCUUACUGUGAACUACUGAACGCGGCUUUACUGAUAGAGUGUCUGAAGGGAAAUGUUUUCAACCAUUUGUUCUGCUAGAACUGAACUGCUACUGUUGUGCUCAGGAGUUCUCCUGCAGUCCACACAGUCCACACAGGACAGCAGUUCUAUAUAAGCCCAUCAGCUGCAUCUAUUUUAAACUUUCUCUCAGAGGUCCUUGUUUACGGCCACUAUGAACUGAUGUUUUUCUCAAGACCUUUGCACAAGCCCUGGUCAGAUGACAGGCAUCCUGACUCCACAAAUAGAGUGAGAAUGCAAAAUGACCCUUGUUCUCCAUAAGGCAGUGAGCAAUACAUCUUCCAUUUCCCUCACAUCAGUGUCCCACUUUGGUCCUGAUCAUACAGCAGGCUUUAUAGCAGUGUCUGUCUUUUUUUUUUCCCAGCCUCUGCUCCUCCUGCACACAUCCUCCUUGGCUCAGAUCACUGAUUUGGUCCUUUCCCCAUUACAUACCUAAACUCUCCUUCCUGGCAUCCCUCAAAGCUGCUCAGCCUCUGCUCCAUUCUCCUCCUCCGCUGUGUUUGUUGUUUUCCUUCUCAUCCUAUUCUUCAACUGCCAAAAAACCCACAUGCAAAGGAGGUAGCCACAAGCUGGGCUUCCUCUUCACUCCACAUGGCCUAGGCAAGCCAAAAGGUCAGACACCCAUGGGUUAGAUGGUCAUAUGCAUAUAAUCAUUUUAGUGCUUACCAAUAAUUUAUCUUCCUGUUUCCUCUGACCAUUCUUCCCUCAACCUGAUGCUCACUUGUCAUUUCUCCCACUCCCACAUCCUCCACCAUCUUCUCGCUCUGCCCUCUUCCUCCACACACUCACGUCUUGCUCUCCCUGUCCUCGUCUCCUCCCUGCUCUCCCCAGCACAAUUUCAAACUCCCAUCAGCACUUCAGCACUGUGGUUACUCAUACUUUGUCUCUCUUGUUUUCCAGUUUAUUAAUUUUUUCAACAAGAGCCACAUUACGGUGCAUUUCGUGGCUCAUCUCACAUGUCAAGCGCUGGGGCCCCAAUUCAGUGUUGGAUGUCAGCAUGGCCUGCUCUUGCUCCACCCGGCUGAGAGAGGCAUGGUUCUCAGCAGUGCUGCCAGCCCUGAAGAAAGCUUGGAGCAAGUGCUGCUGCCUUCCUCAUGAUGGGAGGGGAUUCAUGGAUUUGGGUUCUCAUUCUGAGCAGCAAGAACUGAGCUUUCACAUCCACAGACUUUGCUUCUCAUUGUCGAUGUCAAGAGAAGUGAUGCCCACACGCACCCCAAGCUGAACACCAACGGCAGCUGUGCAGCAGCCGUGCUCCUGGUGGCACAGCACAUCCCAGCAGAGCAGGGCAAGCACCCAGGAGCCGCGUUCACACACUGCCAUUUCCACUGGCUUCAGAGGGGCCGCUCCGGCCGGCUCCUGACUGUUCACAUUUCAGCUGAGAAAGGAGCUGUGCCGGACGGAGCAAGACUUUCUGGGACAAGAAUAGCAUCUGCCAUCUUAGGACACAGCACAGUUGUCCAGCUCCUGCAUGGCAGCACGCCGCAGUGAGAUAUAGAAGGCAAGCUACCCGCUGAGGAAUGUCUUCGAGUGCUAUUCAUGGAGGCGUAUCAUCUACAGCAGCAGGCCCGGCCCCACGCAGGAGCCUUGCGAGGGGGGUUAUUUUGAGCUUUGGGCGCUGAGGAUUGAAGGGAGACAAAUGACAGCCAUCCUCCUGGCACAGGCAACUGCAGAGCUCUGUGCACAAGCCCCGCAGCCUGUCAGCGCUUCUGGGGAUGACGCUUGUGAAGCUGCAGGGCGACGCGGUGGGACCUGAGAGCCCAGGAGAUGGGAGCCAGGAGGGAGCUGAGAAUUCGCUGGGGACACGAGGGCAGGCCUCAGGCCUGCCUGUCCCAGACUCAGGCACUGCUCUGCCUGCUUUGUUUUGACCGCAUCCCUGGGUGCGUCGGCAGGUAACUUUGUGCAGGUGCACACUGUGAUCAGAGGAGACACAGUUAGACUUACAACUUGAUAGCUGCUUCAUCUUCAGAGAGCUACCUUCCCUUUCAUUUUGUGCUUUUGGUGCUCUCUCUUUUUUAUGUUUUAAUAAAAAAUACUUUAAAAAAAAGUUUUAUUGCUUAUAUACAUUAAAUUGCGUAAAUGUUUAAAGCAAACAGAUAUCAGGCUCUUUUACCUUUGAGUUUAAAUGACAGGAAGACUUGAGGAAGAACUGGUAUGCAAAAGGAGAAGACGGCUGAGAUGAACUUGCCAGAGGGAUGAGAGUUCAGAAUCAUGUGGGAGGAGGGAAGGCAGAAUGUUCUGGUUUCAUCUGGGAUGAAGUUAAUUUUCUUCCUGGUAGCUGGUAAGGUGCUGCUUUAUGGAUUUAGGAUGAAAAUAACAUUGAUAACUGAAGUUUUAGUUAUUGAGGAACAGGAAAGAAUGGAGUAGUGUGGGACAGUGGAAGGUUUGGGACAGAUAUGCAUGAAUAUCUCCAAAGGGGAGACUCCAAAACAUCUCUGGGUAUCUGUGCCAGUGUUCAGCCUCCCGCGCAGCACAGCAGUGCUCUCUGAUGGUCAGACAGAACUGUCUGGGUUUCCAUUUAUGCCCAGUGCCUCUUGUUCAGUCACUGGCACCACCGGGCUCUGUUCUUUUGCACUCUCCCCUCAAGUAUUUAUAGACACUGAUGAAAUCUCCCCAGGAUAAAGGGAACAGUUAGUAAGGAAACAAGAGUAAUGGUGUGGUGGUGAAACUUAAACACUGGAGACAGGGAAUCUUGAGGAACAGGCAGCAAGCCAUGCAGUGUGAACAUGAAAAGCUGUAAACACAUCAGUAUCUGAAAAACAACCAUGCUUUUGUCAGUAGGAGCACUUCUCCCACCCACUGGCUCCCAGAUGCAAGCAACAAAUGGGCAAAUAGGAUGCAAAAUGCAGGAGAGCAGAGGCAAACCCUGUGGAGCACAACUACUUCUGAAGCGCGAGGAGCUGUCAUUCCUCACACCUUGGUAUCCCCAGCAGCCUCCAGCAGUGAGCUGACAGAUUAUUUGAUCCUCAGGCGCACCCUGUGAGAAUAUUUGAGUAAGAGAUUGAAACACCACAGGGUAUGUGGUGGGACUGUGACGGAGCUGCAGCUCAGCAAUCAUGUGCAACCGUACGCUGUACAGCCUGAUGCUGUGCCAGCUUCUUCAUUAUAGCACCAAGAAUUAGCACUCCGACUAAAUGGUAAAUAAUUCCUUUUAUUCCUAGUUUCACUCAUGCUCACUGCUCUCAGCUCAUGUUGAGAAAUUGGAGCGUGUGCCUCCAGCAUUGUCAGACAGCAUCCCCCAGAUCUAUCUGCAUUUGAGGAGAGGCUGCUGGGCAGUGACGCUGGCAGCCUCGGUGGUUUGUAUUUGUUGUGUCUCUCACUGCCAAUCAGUCCCUGCUCUUACUGCUUUUUGAGAGUGGCUGAAGCUAAUAGAAGACACUUCAUAUUUUGAGGCCAAUGUCUGUCACUGAUACUGACCACAGUCACAAGCUGGUAAGUGUCCCUCUGCAAUGCUUUUCAGCUUCAUACCUUCAUCCAGGAUUCCUUCUUCUUGGCCAGCUCUCCAUUGAGUGCUCAGCAUUGGAUGACACACUUUGCGUUCAGUCUUCCCUGCACCCAAUUGUCCGCUGCUGAAAGGAAGCAUGGAGCAAAGCUUUAUACACCUGCUUUGUUGGAGAUAAAGGUCAAAGGGACAGAUCUACUUAUGUGAUUAGGACUGACUGACUUUCACACCCUGCAAAGGGAAGAAGAACUGCUGCAGAGAAGUGGUAGGGAAGCAGCAACCCAGUGUCAUAGAAGGGGAGAACCAAAAAGCUUGCGAGCAAAGCCAAAGAGAUGCAUGCUCUUUCCCUCCUCCUCUCUUCCACUCCUGUGCUCCACUUUUUUGUCCAUUUUUCCACCCUCUGCUUCCCUCUUUAUCACUCUUUACCUUAUUUAUUGCUGUUUAAUACAGGACAGAACUUAAUUUUGAAACCAUGUAUUCUGGGGAAAAUGUUCCUUCCAGAUCUGUUCUGAACAGAGUUGCCUCAAGCCACAUGCUGGUCUGCAAACCAGGCAGUACGUCCUACCUAACUGCACCCACCUUUUGCUGUGGUUCUUCUUAUGAUGCUCAACUUCAUGCUUAGACCAGAAAUGCAGAUAUUGUGCCAUACCAUUAUAGCACAGCAAUUUAAAAAUAAAAGCCAAUUUCAGGAGACAGGGAAAGCAGUCAAGAGCAGAUUUUGCAUCACCUAGAAACGAGGUAGGCAUGCCUAAUUCCACAGUACAAUAACUGGGAGCCUGAGUAGAAAAUCUGCAAGAUGACACAGAACGAGGCGCUGAGGUAGUGCACUGCAGAAGGUGGCUUAAGGCAAGUGAGCCCCUAGCAGGUAAGAGCAGCAUUUGGCAGGAGUCAGCAUGAACUGAUAGGUGUUGUCAGAGAUGGAGAAGAUGUGUGGAGGGGCCUCCUGGCGCUUUUUGCCUUGGUAGGCCAACACCACCUCCGGGUUGUACAACGGCUGGAAACUGCAGCAUAGGAAGUUCCGCACAAACAUGCGCAAGAACUUCUUUACAGUGAGGUGAUGGAGCACUGGAACAGGCUGCCCAGGGAGGUGGUGGAGUCUCCUUCUCUGGAGAUGUUCAAGACCUGCCUGGAUGCCGACCUGUGCGACCUACUGUAGGGAACCUGCUUUGGCAGGGGUUUUGGACUCGAUGAUCUCUGGAGGUCCCUUCCAACCCCUACAAUUCUGUGAUUCUGUGAUUCUGUAGGGGUUGACAGUGACACAGAAGAGGCCCGAGUGGGUCUGUAAGAAAAAAACAGAAGAGAAGUCAUGGAAGCCCCUCUCCCUGGCAGCUGAUUUUUCUCCCUUGCAAUGAAGAGAAACGUACACAGAUCAUCUGAGAGCAGCAGUAGCCCUCGGGGCUGUGGAGAACAGCAGAUUCAUGCAGGUGUGUCAGUAUGGCCACAUCCUCAACUCUGUCAACCAGGUGGGUUCACUGCAAAUAAACCAUCAGAUUUGACAGCAAUCAACCACAACUCAGAAGGAAAGGGUUAACUUUGAUCCUGAAGUUCUCAGUGUCCAUUCCAUGUGCACAGAUGCUGACAGGAACAGAGAACUAAUAACACCUAUAAUGUGUUUCAGGAUUUUCUUCUUGUUUAAUAAGACACAGCCAUCACAGGGCAGACAUUGGUGCCAUCUGGUAACUCUGUAGUGCUGGCAGAUGGGAUGUAAGUCCUGGAAUCGUUGAAGCCACAUAGCCAGAAUUCACGCCGGAUCAGAGGACCAGACCUUUCUAUGUGUUACUGCUGCUGGUGGCUGCAACGCCCAUGGGCACAACUGCUGCCUGCCUGACAACACCACAGAGGCAGGAAACCGACAGCACGGUUUCAUCUGCAGUGAAUCUUUCGCUGGCACUCAUUCUGCUCCUGGUUCCUGGACACAAGACAGCUCUCUCUUGCAGCAGCUCCGUCUGCCGGGCUUGUGUCACGCUGUCCCAUCUGCAGACAUGCAUGCAGGCAGGGCAGACGUGCAGGAAAACAGAUGUGCACAGGUGGCAGCAGCCAGCUGCGCCACACGGAACCAGGGAGGAGCUUGAAAAUCCUGCUGCCAUUUUCCCAACCUGCUUCCCUCCUUGCUUCUAUCUGCAGAUGAGGUGAUUGCUGCUCCCGUGGCCUGCAAGCCAACAGUCCAACCCAGGGGGAAAAUAACACUGGUGCUAUCUGUCUGUUUCCGAAAGUUUAGUAGCUUCCAGGUUCAGUGAAGGUCCACUGAGCAAUGGACCUAUCUUGGGCUUUUUUUGAGAAGGCGAGAAUAAGGAAUGUCGGUUUUGAAAGCAACCCUGUGAUCUGCUUCCUUACAUGCUCUCCUGAAGGGUUCAAACAUGCAAGAAGUUGGGAUUCACAGAAGGUCUCCAUAUAGAACAAGAGGUUGUGCCUGAACUGCUCCUCACAGGAAGUACCUGAGAGUCAUACCGAGGGCUCCAAGGUAACGUCAGGUCAGUGCUCGGAAGAGAGCGUAACUGACUGUGAGAGAAAGGGAGAAAGGAAGGAAGCAUCAUGUAGGAUGUGUCAGUUCACUCACAUCUCCAUCACUAAUCCUGCUUCUUGGAAAGGUCGCAGUUGUAUGAGAAAUUAUGCAAAGAAAAACAAAGAUUGCAACAAGCAUGAAACUGGCAUCAAAAAUGAAUCUAUGAGAGCAAAACUUGAUGGGAUCUGGCGGUGAAAAUGAGACAUUAGAAGCCUGCAAAGUCCUGAAUGGCAGAGAGCCAUCCCUGCAGCUGUGCUGGUGAGGAAUGAUUCACUAUUUCUGUAUGAGCAAAUACAAUCUGAAAUUACCAGGCUGCAUAAAAGACAGGCUGAAGUUACCAGACCGCAUAUUGCAGUGAAUAGGAGGCACUUCACACCUAUUACAAUUACAAAUGAUUGAAAUCUGGGUUGUGUGAGAGGAAAAAGCUCAAAUGGGUACAAAAAAAGGCAAAGCCCAGGAAAGCAACACACAGGUCCUUGCACACCAUCACCUGCUGCACUCUGCUGCCACGUACCUGUGGUUGCUGCACACUGGGUAUGAAACAACAGAUCACAGCUUUAUUCUUUAUUUUCUUAAUGUCUGGUAGGGAUUACUGCCAGGACAUUGGGUGAGGGGCUGCAGCUACUUCUACAGAAUUUACCUGGACACAAGUUGUUAAUAUGUUUCAAGAUUAAGAUUAAGGCCGUUUCUUCAAGAUAAAGACAGUGGAGGCUUCUAGAGGGAACAGACACGCUGCCGAUACGAGUUUCACAUGCGAAGUAGCUGCAAGCUCUGUCACCAGUAAAGUGAGGAACUUAACAGAGGAUAUAAUAGUAUUAGAAUAAUAGAAUACAAACUGCAGCUGAGGAAUGCCAUGACCAGCAAGGCAACAGCCCAACCUGUUACAGAGCAUUUUUAUCUUAAAAUCCUGCUGGGAACAAUUAUCCCAUAGAUACCUUCAUCUCUGCAUUCGGAGUAAAGCCUUCAUCUGAAGGGCAGUCAGGCUCAGGAGGAAACCUGCCCCUGCCCAGUGUAAGUGCUUCUGUGCUCCUUGCCAUCCCUAGCAGGUGUCCUGGCCCCCAGCAGGGAAGGGAGGAGGGCCGGGAGGAACGCACACAAUCUCCCAGCAGUUUCCUUCCCAUCCUGCACAGCCAUGAUCUUUCCUAUGGUGUGCUCUGCCUGGGGUUGGCCAUGAAGCAGCAGGUCCUGGUAUCUUGGCCGGUUCUGUGCCUGUUCUCUCCAUCUCUGACUGGCACAGGCAUGGUGCGGCCCUGCUGAGAUGUGCCAUGAUGGACUGAGGGGAACAUUUCCCUUUAAAUCUGGCAGUCAGCUGUGCAUUCAUUACAGAAUUUUGCUGCACAUAUAUGAAAAGAGAGCAGUAGCCAUUUCACAGUGAUUUGCCACUGAACAGCAAUCUUUCAGGAACAGAAAUCAAUUUUUCAGUGUUUCUUUACUGGCUCUGCUAACAACUGACAAUCGCAGUGCCAAGCAAUCCACAGCCUACUCCCAUUCGUUACAUUUUUUGCACAGAGGUGUCCUUUACAUCAGCUUCCACUAUACGCAAAGCAUCACAUGCACUCCUUGUGAAAAACUGACAGUGGUAAGAGAUCCCACAAGGGAAUUUCAGUUCAGGAGGCCACUCACAGGGAUGGCAGGGACAAACCUCACCUGGGACUGUCCUCAGCUUUGGCACUUCAGUGACUGCUCCUGAUGCAGAUCCCCCACACUGCCAGAGAGAAGGUCCCCAGACCAUGAGUGUUCCUGAUGGAGGUGACUGCAUACUGCAAACAACAACCAUCCAUUCCUGAAUGAUCAGUUUAAGUAAAACUGGGUUUGAAACAAACAGAUCCUCUCUCUCUAAACUCUGCAAUCGAGCUGCUGCACUUUUAGCUUUGAUAUGUCUCUUCCAUUCCUUUCAGAAGAGUAUAUAUUACGAACCUUUUCAGUCUGUAAAGAUUCAAAUGAUAGUACCAAAAUUAAGUUUUUCUUCCAUGAGGUACCUUAGGCAACCAAGAGAAGCAUAAUCAGGCUUUAAAGAGGCAGUCUGAAGAUUCCCUCUGAUCAUCCAAGACCCAGAGGCUUAACAGCACAAGGGGGAGCACUGGAGGAGCUGAGCAUCCCCACACCUCCCAGCAGCAUCUGUACCAGCACUGCUCACUGCUGCUUGUUAGCACAUGGUGUGCAACCUUUGGGCUGGUCUGGGUUGCACUGAGAGAAGAGGAAUUGUCUUGGGCUGCACAGAAAAUAUGUAGAUCAUUAUGAAAGUAAUGCCUCCUAUUUAUUCCCAUGGAAGCUACCACAGCUACAAAGAGCACAACAACACUAAUUGAUAGAGCAAUUUUGUUUUCUCAAAAACAAAAUGUUUUGUUUUGUUUUUUUAAUAUAGUCACUAUCAUUAGCUGUGUUUUCACCAGCAAUGAGCAAGAGCCUGCAUGCUACAUUCGUAACAAUCUGCAUCAGCAGAGGUCACCCACUGUUGCUGUCCCCACUGCUGAAAUGCAGCACCCAUCACCUCACUGUGCUCACAUCCACCACUUGGUUUCCAUAAACAUUCAGCAAGCAUCAGUGCAUGUCAGUAAGUGCCAUUUGUUCUGCAUGUAGGAAUUCAAUGACACAUCUCUGCUUCAUACGCACUCCCAUGUCAGGCACCAUUGUGUCACAGUGCCCUCUGCUGCCGUCUGUCACACAGCAACGCAUAACGAGAUACUGGUGGGAAGGUUCAGCCUCUACUGCCGUCCCACCGAUGUCCACCUCUGACAACAUGGGCCAAUAUAACAGGAGGCAUUACUUUCGGAGCGACCUUCAUAUGCAACAUAGUUAAUACAUACAAGCAACAAAAUUGAGUACAGCUUUAAGGCAGAUUUCCCAGCAACACAGAAAUGCCAGCUGGAAGGGUGCCUCCCACCUAAGGCACCAGGACGAGGCACGCAGAGCUAGAAGGUGCCAAACAUCUUCAUUAUAAGGAAAGUUUUGAACUGAAUUAAUUUACUGCCUCUGGGAUUCUGGGAAAAAAUAAAAGGUGAGAUGAGACUCCUCAGAAACAAUACUGACUCUAUGAAAACAAAAUUAUUAUUGCCAUUGCCACUCAUGCUAGACAUUACUGGUAACACCUUGGAUGUGACACGGCUCCAAGUAACAUGAGACCCAGCAUGAGAAACUUCCUUUGGAAGCUGCUCAUUUGCUAACUGCACCCAAAGCAGCCAGAACAAGGCUCAACAGCUGAAAAGGAAGUUAAACUCUACUAAGACACUAAAACACCUGGUAUAAACCAGUACACAAAAAUUCCUGGUGACGGGCACAUCCAAACCAUGCAAUGGCCUGUCCUACUAUAUUGUAUGUAUCAACACUACUUUCUACACAGAUGAAAUCCGGUACGUGAGUUUUGACCAGCAUGCAAAGUUCUGAUGAUAACCCAUUAUCAGUCAAAUCAAAUUAAAGAAAAUGCAAACAGAUGCCUCACAGUCACUCUGCAAGUGAGACUUCUUCUGCAUGAACCCCUCCAGCGCUGCAAAGCUGCCAAUACGCUCCGGGCUCUGAGUAAUGCUGUCCCCACAUGCAGACAAUUCCAGACACACUGCAGCCACUCUUUACCUGGAGGCUCUUCCUGGAAACCUUGAAAGUGAUAAACAAUUACACAAAGCAAUCUUUAUUUUCAAAUGCUGCACUGCAUAAAUUUUAUCUGGUUAACAGUCCUAUGCACAGACACAGACCCCUCUUCAUCCUCCCCACUUCAUUACUCAACAAAGCACAAUCAGGCCAACUACACAAAAAAUCACAUUGAUCUGAAGAAAAACGCAUUUGCAACUCAUUACUCAUUUCCUUACAAGUCAACAGCGCUUCCUUAGAGAAAUCAUCAAGAAAAAAAAAAACACUACUUCUGCAUUCAAACGA